AUCAUUUCUCCGCCUUUUGUCUUAUAUCAAGUGUAGUAUCUGUUCUUAACAGUUUAACAUCUGAUACAUUGUCUACAUCCAAGGACAAUAUAUUAGAAUCUGA
rnacentral:snRNA from 1 species